GGAGGUUGAAGGAUAUGUUGGCAAAAAAGAAAAUGAACCUUGACAAUUGCAGGUAUCUUACUUUAGAUGAGGCUGAUAGACUAGUGGAUCUGGGAUUUGAAGACGAUAUUAGGGAAGUUUUUGAUCAUUUUAAGGCUCAACGCCAAACUCUAUUAUUUUCUGCCACAAUGCCUACCAAAAUUCAAAAUUUUGCUAGAAGUGCCCUGGUAAAGCCUGUAACUGUUAACGUGGGAAGAGCUGGAGCUGCAAACCUUGACGUCAUCCAGGAGGUCGAGUAUGUGAAACAAGAGGCAAAAAUUGUUUACUUGCUCGAGUGUCUGCAGAAAACACCACCUCCAGUGUUGAUAUUCUGUGAGAAUAAAGCCGAUGUCGAUGACAUUCAUGAGUAUCUACUCUUGAAAGGUGUUGAAGCAGUAGCAAUUCAUGGAGGAAAAGAUCAGGAAGAGAGAGAGUAUGCUAUUUCUUCCUUUAAGGCGAGCAAGAAAGAUGUAUUGGUUGCUACUGAUGUUGCAUCAAAGGGUUUAGAUUUUCCAGACAUUCAACAUGUUAUCAACUACGAUAUGCCAGCUGAAAUUGAGAACUAUGUCCAUAGGAUUGGACGAACAGGACGAUGU
rnacentral:misc_RNA from 1 species